rnacentral:lncRNA from 1 species
GGCAAAGGUGGUGCUAAAGGAAGAAGAGAAAGUGAAGAGGAGAAAUCAAGGAAGAGAAGAAAGAAGGGGUCUAAGGUAGUAUAAGCAUUCAGUCGAGCCCCUAGCUUACACUUCGACCAACUAGAUCCACUGGUGAUGGGUGGAGUUGAAGGGAAAAAAGAGGAAAAGGCUAUGGUUUCGACAUCGAUCGAGCAGCAGAGUUCGGCGAAGGAAUGCACAAUCCAGAUUCUUCUCCAAGGAAUGCACAAUCUCUACAAGAUAUAAUAUGACUCUUAUAAUGUUUCUUAUAUUGCUUGCAAGCCAAAUAAG